rnacentral:rRNA from 1 species
AUGUCGGGGCGGAAGGAGACGGUGCUGGACCUGGCCAAGUUCGUCGACAAGGGCAUCCAGGUCAAGCUCACCGGCGGCAGGCAAGUUACAGGAACUUUGAAGGGCUAUGACCAGCUUCUGAACUUGGUGCUUGAUGAAGCGAUUGAGUUUGAAAGAGAGCAAGAUGAUCCACUGAAACUGUCGACAAAAACCAGACAGCUUGGUCUCAUUGUCUGCAGGGGCACAGCGGUGAUGCUCGUAUCGCCAACCGAGGGAACAGAGGAGAUCAAAAACCCCUUCCAAGAGGCUGAUGGAGAACAAACCGCUCACUCCUAA